CUGCAGCUCCACCAAUCCCAGAAUCACCAGGCUGCAGUGUGGACUCUCCAGAAAACCACACAGAUGCUUCACUCCUGAAUCCUGCAGCUGGUUCUCAC